CCUGAGAACAGUGCCAGCAGCUGGCUUCGUGACAUUCUGGAAGCCCCGUGCAAUGCUGUCAGGAGCAUAGGGAUUUUACUUUAUCUCCCUUGCUUAUGCUCCACAUAACUGAAAUAUCUCACUGGAAGCUGCAGCAGUGCUGGCCCCUUGCACAGCCAUAUGUGACCACUGCAGAACAAUCAGUUGGAGAGACAGUUUGGACUACAUGGAGGGUGGAGAUAAGGACAAAGUGAAGAAUACACAGGAACCAGUGCCUCCUCCUGGAACUAUGCAACUCCAAGCUGCUUCCAUCAGCUGCUAGGUCCAGUAGGGAGGGACCUACUGAGAGAAGGUGCCUGCUUCCCUUUCCGCUGUGAUUGUAAGUUUCCUGAGGCCUCCUCAGCCAUGUGGAACUCAUUGCCAGAAAACUCAUUUCUCAGUGACACCAUUGUAAUUACUCAUUUGAUUAUCCCGCAAUACACAUAUAAGAGUCUCAGGAAAACAGUACCAUCAGCAUUAUAUGGUAAUAUCUACAAGCACUUUAAUAUUUUCUUAUUGGGGGUACACUUUUUUCCAUAGAGAAUAUUUUACUAGGUAAGAACAAUAAUAUUGAUAUGUUUUAAUUUUUCUUGAAGUGGUUCUUCUGUAUGAGGUUAUAUCACCAAGUAGAUAUACAGUUAUAAUGUUUGAUUAUUACACAUUGCUUUUCUUAAAAUUUAAUUUUGUUUUAAAGCUAUUAAAAUCAGGUUUCUUAAAGAAAGAUCCUCAUUCUAUCUGGAUCAAAAUCACUUUCAGAGCUAAUUAAAAAUGUGGUGUCCUGGACUCACGAAGCCAGAAUUGCUGAGGAGAUAGCCCGAGAAUCUGAAUUUUUAGCAGACAUUUUUUUAGGUACCUUACCCGCAGGAUCAUUUCUGUGAAUAUCCAUGAGGUGAAAAAGUCUGGGAAACACUGUCCUAGGGUGUGGGGAAGAGCGAGAAAAAGAUUUCCGCUCUGGAAGGUAAACAAAUACUCUCUGGAGAGAGAAGAGGAAUGUCCCUAGCAGAUGUCUCCAGAGAAGACAAGACUUUAAAUUCCGCCAGGGAAAUAUACAAUGUCUAACUUCUAAGGCACAUUUGCCAUUCAAUCAUGCUUUAACCCACGUUGCCAGAAAUUUUUGCUCACUAGGUUUUGACUGUACAGGAAUGUGAAAAUAUUCAUGAAGAGUUGUUUUCCAAUGCUAAAGAAUUGAUGUGUUUUAACAGUUGAAUUAAUUGUAUUGAUUAUGAUCACACCUACUUUUUAUAUAUCUUCAUUUCUAACGUUUCUGUACAAUCCUGCCUUUCCACCUGAUAUAGUUAGGCCUUGUGUCAUCAACCAAAUCUCAUCUUGAAUUGUAAUCGCCAUAAUCCCCACGUAUUUAGGGAGAGACCUGGAGGGAGGUGUUUGGAUCAUGGGGGCGGUUUCCCGCAUGCUGUUCUCAUGACCAUGAGAGUAAGUUCUCAAGAGAUCUGAUGGUUUUAUAAGCGUCUGUCAUUUCCACUGCUUGCACUUCUGUGUCCUGCCACCUUGUGAAGAAGGACGUGGUUGCUUCCCCUUCCACCAUGAUUGUGUUUCCUGAGGCCUCCCCAGCCUUGCAGAGCUGUGAGUCAAUUAAACCUCUUUCCUUUAUAAAUUACUCAGUCUCUGUAUUCCUCUGCAGCAGUGUGAGAACAGACUAAUACAUCACCACUUUAUUUACUUUACUCUCUCCCCAUACCGAGGUUUUCUACAUUUUCUUUCUAGGUCUCUACAGUUUCUGCAAAGAUCCUUUAUGGAACUCUUAGGGAAGCUGGGAUGUAUAAUAAAUAAAGGGCUCUUUUCUUUGAGUCCCACACCCAUUUUCUGUGUAUAAAAAUCUUCAACUCCACUUUUGUCUGUUCUAUUUAAAUGUGUGCACAUUUCCUUCUAAUGUUGUAUAUGAAAAAGAGACACCUCUUAGCAGUCUUUCAUAGAGCAAAAUUUUUUACUUUGAUAAAAUCUAAUUUAUCAAUAUUUUUAAAUUUUAUGGAUCAAUCAUGCUUUUGAGGUUGAAUUUAAGAAUGCUUUGCCUAGCCCUAGAUCCCAAGUAUCUUUUAAAAAUUAUUUUUCUAAAUGCAUUAUUUAUGUUUUACACUUAAGUCUAUAAUCCAUUUUGAGUCCAUGUGUAAGAUUUAGGUUAAGGUCAAGAUUUAUCUGUUUUUGUUGUUUUCUCUAUAAAUGUCAAUUGCUCCAGCACUAUUUGUUUAAAAGCCAAUCUUUCCUCCGCUGAGUUCUUCCUAUAAGUUUGUCAAAAGUCAAUUUGGCAUCUUUGUAUAAGUUUAUUUCUGGAUUCUCUAUUCUGUUUUAUUGAUCACUGCAUCUAUCCCUCUUGAUUAGCUAGAUAAUAAAUCCUACAAUAAGGUAGAAUUCUUCCCACUUUAUUCAUAUUCAAAAUAUUUUAAAGCUAUUCUAGUUUCUUUUUAUUUCCAUAUAUAUUUUAGGAUAAUCUUAUCUAUAUUUACAACAUAUGUUGCUAGGAUUUUGAUAGAAUUUGUUUUAAAUUUGUGUAUCAAUGUAGGGAAGACCUGACAUCUUUACUAUUACGUUGAUCUUCCAAUCAAUGAAUAUGGUAUAUCUCUCAGUUUAUAGCUAUUGUCUUUAAUUUAUUUCAUCAUGGUUUUUAGUUUUCAGCAGAGAAGCUUUAUACAUGUUUUGUUAUACAUGUAUAACAAAAGAAGCCUUAUACACUGACAUUUUAUAUUUUGAACAAUUGUAAAUGGUAUUGUUUAAAAAUUUUGUUGUCUAUGAUAGAAAUAAAAUUGAUUUUUGUAGGUUUAUCUUGUAACCUAUGACUUGCUGAGCUCGCUCAUUAGUUUUUUUAUUGUGAUAAAAUAUACAUGAGAUAAAUUUCAUCAUUAUAAUCAUUAAGUUUAGACAUCAAUUGCAUUAAGUACAUAAAUGCCUUAUGCAACCAUCAUCUCUAUCCAUCUCCAGACCCUUUGCAUCACCCUAAAAUGAAACUCUGUGCCCAUUAAACAAUAACUCCCCAUUCUGCCCUCACCCCAGCCCUUGGUAAUUACCAUCCUACCUUUUAUCUCUAUAAAUUUAACCAUCCCAGGUAACUCAUAUAAGUGGAAUCAUGCAGUGUUUGUCCUUUUGUAACUGGUUUAUUUCACUUAGCAUGAUGUCUUCAAGGUUUGCCUAUGUCAUAGCAUGUGUCAGAAUUUCAUCCCUUUUUAAACUUAAAUAAUAUUCCACUGUAGGCAUAUGCCACAUUUUGUUUAUUUGUUCAUCUGUUGAUGGGCAUUUGGGUUGUUUCCACCUUUUGGCUACUGUGAAUAAUGCUGCUGUGAUCAUGGGUAUGCAACUGUCUCCUGGAGUCCCUGCUAUCAAUUCUUGUGGGUAUAUACCCAGAAGUGGAAUUGUUGCAACAUAUAGUAAUUCUAUGUUUAAUUUUUUGAGGACCUGCCAUAAUGUUUUCCACAGUAGCUACAUUGUCUUAUAUUCCCAUUAAGAGUUCCAAUUUCCUCACAUCUUCACCAAUACUUAUUGUUUUCUGUUUUUUUAAAUAAUAGCCAUCAUAAUAAAAGUAACAUGGUAUCUCAUUGUGGUUUUAACUGCAUUUCCCUUUUUACUGGAUUGUUUGUAAUAUUGCUGUAAUUGAGUUGUAGGAGUUUUUAAAUAUGUUCUGAAUAAUUAAUUUCUUAUCAGAUAUGUCAUUUGCAAAUAUUUUCUGCCAUUCUCUGGGUUGUCAUUUCACUCUCUUGAUAGUGUCCUUUGAUGCACAGAAGUUUUGAAAUUUGAUAAAGUUUAAUUUGCGU
rnacentral:lncRNA from 1 species